GAUGAAGAACGCAGCGAAAUGCGAUAAGUAAUGUGAAUUGCAGAAUUCAGUGAAUCAUCGAAUCUUUGAACGCACAUUGCGCCCGCCAGUAUUCUGGCGGGCAUCCCUGUUCGAGCGUCAUUUCAACCCUCAAGCCCCCGGGCUUGGUGUUGGGGAUCGGCGUGCCCUCGCGGCGCGCCGUCCCCUAAAUCUAGUGGCGGUCUCGCUGUAGCUUCCUCUGCGUAGUAGCAACACUCGCACUGGAUCGCAGCGCGGCCACGCCGUUAAACCCCCCACUUCUGAAAGUUUGACCUCGGAUCAGGUAGGAAUACCCGCUGAACUUAAGCAUAUCAAUAAGCGGAGGA
rnacentral:misc_RNA from 1 species